AUUGAACGCUGGCGGCAUGCUUUACACAUGCAAGUCGAACGGCGAGCGCGGGGGCAACCCUGGCGGCGAGUGGCGAACGGGUGAGUAAUGUAUCGGAACGUAUCCUGUAAUGGGGGAUAACCAGUCGAAAGAUUGGGUAAUACCGCAUACGCACGAGAGUGGAAAGUAGGGGAUCGCAAGACCUUACGUUAUAGGAGCGGCCGAUAUCUGAUUAGCUAGUUGGUGGGGUAAAGGCCUACCAAGGCGACGAUCAGUAGCUGGUCUGAGAGGACGACCAGCCACACUGGGACUGAGACACGGCCCAGACUCCUACGGGAGGCAGCAGUGGGGAAUUUUGGACAAUGGGCGAAAGCCUGAUCCAGCCAUGCCGCGUGCAGGAAGAAGGCCUUCGGGUUGUAAACUGCUUUAGUCUAGGAAAAAGGGGUGCGAGGUUAAUACCCUCGUGCUUUGAUGGUACUGGAAGAAUAAGCACCGGCUAACUACGUG
rnacentral:rRNA from 1 species